AUCUCGGCAUGGUUGAAUCAGACUCCUUGUAUCAGUUUAUCCUUCUGCUUCAAUAUGCACUUCCACCUGCAAUGACAGUAGGUAUGGCAACUUGAUACUAAAAGUUGGAACUAAUAUUUUAUUUUUCCGAUUUGACGGCAAGAAGUAUCCUCGAGCCAGCUACAAAACCAGUGAAAAAAUUACCUGAUGAAUACUAAACCUGCUAAUCUGUUUGUUAUUUGUUGUUAAAUUGACAGGGGUUAUUGCACAGCUUUUCAAGGCCGGUGAAGGUGAAUGUUCAGUCAUUAUGCUGUGGAGUUAUGCUUUAUCAGCACUGUCUCUUACCCUCUGGUCAACCUUUUACAUGUGGCUGCUGCAGUAAGCACAAUUAGGGUUCCUUCUAUUCCCUGGAACUACCCUGCCAUGACAAAAUGAGGCCGCCGCAAGCUUAUCUUCAUCCUUCAGGCACAUCGAUCACAUGGGG
rnacentral:lncRNA from 1 species